UGCCCAGCAACUCCUAGCCCUACCUCCUCGUGGUACCGGCCGGAAACUAUGAGCAACCUUAGGAAAGAUCGGG
rfam:Aedes albopictus isolate Foshan contig97894, whole genome shotgun sequence.